CCCUCGAGAUGCCAGCUGUUCUCAGUUACUCAAGUCCGUUCAUGCCCAUCGAUCACACAAUACUUAUUUCUUAUUUUUUCUCUGAUUAUUAAACUGUUUAUUCCCUGAAGAGCGUUGUUGUGUACACUGUAACAAUUAGUCAGAAGAUUGCGAAGAUGAUAAUUUCUUACAGAAAUUUUUUUAACUGUAAUACGCAACAAUUCACAGGACUACAACAAUGAACUGAAUCUUAAUAACCGUGCACGUAUGAGCAAAAAUAAUGAUAAAGUAGAUAAGAUUUUGCAAUUUCUAACCAGUAUAUAGUGUUUGAACGUGACUGUGGAACAAAUGAAGAUGUCUCAAUGUGGUUAAUGAUUCAGGAAGUAUGUGUCAAAUAGCAAUGAAACGGCUGAUUAUAUAUGUCUAUUUGACUGAUUUACUUCUGAGUCUCACCAACUCGGUAAUUGGUUGCGCUAAUGGUCUACAUUCUUAAACUUACUGGGAUCUCCCUUCCGUUACUUUAAUAAGGUUUUCAUGAUUAAAAAUAGUUUUACAAGAAUUAAACAUAUCAAUAAGGGAAACACACAUGAGAAUCUGACCAAUUAAUUCCUUGGUCUCACAAGUAGUUCUAUAUAAUGAGAAUAAUGCGUUUCAAAAUCCUGGGUAACAUCGAAAGAAAGAAAUAAAAAAUACGUUAUUUUACCGCACAUCGAAAAUGACUUUAACAGACAACAGAAUAUUUCUCUUAAAGGGAGUUGAUACAUUCCGAAUAAACAGGAAAAUAAGUGAUUAGAUGAUAAACUGACGGAAAAGUGUUGAGGGUGAAACUGGAUCAGACAACCCUUAUACAUCCACAAAUAGACCAGCGAGGCCACGGGGGUGUGCGAGAGUGUCAGCGGGAACUCAAAGACACUGAGAACGAAUUAUGUUUUAUUUGUACCAAUUUUGAUGUUCCAAUGUAAAGCCGAUAGCGUGUGAUAAGAUUACAAAGUGAUUUUCUCCUAGGCACGAAUAAUUAUUGGACUUACUGAUAAGGAAGUAGUCAUAACAAAUGUUGCACGAUCUAUAGCUUUAUGUGUCUGGUAACAUCAACAAAUAACAGCAUGAAGAAGCGUAUCAUCUGAACUAACGCUGUGGCGGGGAAGGCGUGGAUAGGGAGAAGAGGAGGGGGAGACAGGUCAACAAACACGACUCCUUCACAGACGAUGGUCGGUUACUGAGGCGCCACCGUCACUGACUAAGGCCGUGAUGACUCCCUGUCCACGUAGUUACUCGCCCACGCAUCUCACCCACGCUGGUGGUGUGGCAACCGCUCGGAGAUAUCGCCUCACCAAGUGUUAUUGAACAAUCCGAUAAAUGCAGCUCACUCACUCACUUAGCUACACUGAGAACGCGCUACCUCAAAACAGCACGAACCGCGGCACUGGACGUCUCGUAUUUAUUCAUUUAUAUAUUAAUUUACUAAUUCAUUUCUUUACUAAUUCAUUUCUACUUCAUAUCUAUUGUUCGAUAUUUUUUUUCACUGGUAGUAAUAGUAGUAGUAGUAGUAGUAGUAGUAGUAGUAUCAGUAUUUGUAUUAGUAUUAGUAUUAUUAUUAGUAGUAGCACUGUGAUAACUAUAGAAGCACACUAGUAGUACUAGUACUUGCAAUAGUUUGUAUGUAUAACAUUCAUUGCUAAAACAAGAAAACAAAAGUAAAAAAAGAAAAAAGAAUUACCGACAGGACCUUCACCUAUACCAAGAAAAAAGAAUAAACUGAUAAAAAAAAAAAAAUGUGUGGUUUCCUUGACAGUUAUCGGUGAUGGGCACGUUUGUCCUUCACUCGUAACACGUCAAGUACAAAACCUAUAAAAUGACGACGAAGUGGAGAAACCAGUCAUUAUUUCCCGGAUUUUACUCACGCACUCACCAGCGCUCAAGGAGUUAAGCCACCCACUACGAAGCGAGGGUGUCUGGCAUUCGAUUUGAGUACCUACUAACUGAAUACCGACCACGAAAGAGACACUCGGCACAACAAUGAUAAAGAAAACGACAAACUUCAGAGGAACCAAUGGGCUCACGAACCUAUAAUGAUCAGGAAGUCUUAUUGGAAAUCUUGUUAAUAAUUCGUCUUCCGUUAAUGACGUAACUUAAAUAAUAGUAAUUUUUUCGUGUCACUGAAUUAUUUACGAAAGUUUCUAAUGUUAAUAUAGGGUGUUUCUGAUUAACGCAGGCAUCCCCUAGCAACUGACUCCAUUAAAAACCUUGUGAUAAGCGCUUUUCAUGCAAUAUAACAUUAAAACGUCAUGAAAUA